rnacentral:lncRNA from 1 species
UGAGAUAUGGACAGGUGAGGCGCAGGUGAGCAGCAGCCGCUCACCUGCCAGCACCCACAGCGUGCCGUUCACCACCGGGGUGCGCGGGGCGUCUGUGGGACAGGUGAGACAGGUGAGAUAUGGACAGGUGAGACAGGUGGGACAGGUGGGACAGGUGAGAUAUGGACAGGUGAGACAGGUGAGACAGGUGAGACAGGUGAGACAGGUGGGAUAUGGACAGGUGAGACAGGUGAGACAGGUGAGACAGGUGAGACAGGUGGGAUAUGGACAGGUGAGACAGGUGAGACAGGUGAGACAGGUGGGAUAUGGACAGGUGAGACAGGUGAGACAGGUGAGACAGGUGAGAUAUGGACAGGUGAGACAGGUGGGAUAUGGACAGGUGAGAUACAGGUGUUGGGACAGGUGACAGAGCUAGGACAUGCACAGGUGAGGCAGGUGGGACAGGUAUGGAGAGGGUCCCUGUUGUGUGUCCAGCUGCCCCCAGGUGUGCCCAGGUGAGGUAAAAGUGGGGUUCAGGUGUGCCCAGGUGAGGUUAAAGUGGGAUUAAAUGGGGCUCAGGUGUGCCCAGGUGAGGUUAAAGUGGGGCUCAGGUGUGCCCAGGUGCCCCCAGGUGUGCCCAGGUGAGGUUAAAGUGGGGUUCAGGUGCCCCCAGGUGUGCCCAGGUGUGCCCAGGUGUGCCCAGGUGCCCCCAGGUGUGGGUUCAGGUGUGCCCAGGUGCCCCCAGGUGCCCCCAGGUGCGCCCAGGUGUG